AUAAAUGAAUGUGAAAGGCUAUUUAGACCUCUGCCUUUUCACCGUCCUCCCACCUGCCACAGGCUGGGCUCUUGUGCUAGAAAUGACUUGCUAGCUAGACAUCAUGGUUCAGGAUCUGAGUCAGAGGAAACCACAGUGCAAAUUUAAUUGCCGGGGAAGAUAACGGGCCUUGGUGCCCUCCAAGCGUCAGCUGAGUUUCCAAGAAGCCGGGCAGCGGGCGCCCGCGGGUUCGUCUCUGGCUCCUCCUCCGCCACAGCAGCCGGGGGCCCGGGUCGGAGGCGGCGGGGGCCGAGCGCCCGGCCUCGCAAGCCCACGGCCCGCUGGGGGUGCCGUCCCGCGCCGGGGCGGAGCAGGCCCCGGCAGCCCAGUUCCUCAUUCUAUCAGCGGUACAAGGGGCUGGUGGCGCCACAGGCGCUGGGACCGCGGGCGGACAAGGAUGGGUCCGCGCGGCGCGGCGAGCUUGCCCCGAGGCCCCGGACCUCGGCGGCUGCUCCUCCCCGUCGUCCUCCCGCUGCUGCUGCUGCUGUUGUUGGCGCCGCCGGGCUCGGGCGCCGGGGCCAGCCGGCCGCCCCA
rnacentral:lncRNA from 1 species